rnacentral:rRNA from 1 species
CAGGCGCGAAACCUUCACACUGUGCGAAAGCGCGAUGAGGGGAUCCCAAGUGCUUGCUCUUAGGAGUAAGCUGUUUUCCUGUUUAAAUCGCAGGAAGAGGAAGGGCUGGGUAAGACGGGUGCCAGCCGCCGCGGUAAUACCUGCAGCUCAAGUGGUGACCGCUAUUAUUGGGCCUAAAACGUCCGUAGCCGGCUGAGUAAAUGCCUGGGUAAAUCGUGCCGCUUAACGGUACGAAUUCCGGGUAGACUGCUUAGCUUGAGACCGGGAGAAGCUAGAGGUACUCCUGGGGUAGAGGUGAAAUUCUGUAAUCCUGGGGGGACCACCAGUGGCGAAAGCGUCUAGCUAGAACGGGUCUGACGGUGAGGGACGAAACCCUGGGGCGCGAACCGGAUUAGAUACCCGGGUAGUCCAGGGCGCAAACGCUGCUUGCUUGAUGUUAGCUGGGCUCCGAGCUCAGCUAGUGUCGGAGAGAAGUUGUUAAGCAAGCUGCCUG